AACGAACGCUAGCGGCAUGCCUCAAACAUGCAAGUCGAACGAGAAAGUACCUUCGGGUGCGAGUAAAGUGGCGCACGGGUGCGUAACACGUAGCUAACCUACCUUUUUGCUGAGGAUAACUCCGGGAAACCGGAGCUAAUACUGAAUAGUCUGACUCUGAUUACGGUCUAGGUCAGUAAAGCCUUCGGGCGCGAAAAGAUGGGGCUGCGGCCUAUUAGCUUGUUGGUGGGGUAAAAGCCUACCAAGGCUGCGAUAGGUAGCUGGUCUGAGAGGAUGAUCAGCCACACUGGAACUGAAACACGGUCCAGACACCCACGGGUGGCAGCAGUUGGGAAUAUUGGACAAUGGGGGAAACCCUGAUCCAGCAAUGCCGCGUGAGUGAUGAAGGCCCUAGGGUCGUAAAGCUCUUUCAGCGGGGAAGAAGGGAAACUUGACGGUACCCGCAGAAGAAGCACCGGCUAACUCCG
rnacentral:rRNA from 1 species